AUUGAACGCUGGCGGCAGGCCUAACACAUGCAAGUCGAACGAGUGGCGGACGGGUGAGUAAUGUCUGGGAAACUGCCCGAUGGAGGGGGAUAACUACUGGAAACGGUAGCUAAUACCGCAUACCAUCGGAUGUGCCCAGAUGGGAUUAGCUAGUAGGUGGGGUAAAGGCUCACCUAGGCGACGAUCCCUAGCUUGUCUGAGAGGAUGGCCCGCCACACUGGAACUGAGACACGGGCCAGACUCCGACGGGGGGCAGCAGUGGGGAAUAGUGCACAAUGGGCGAAAGCCUGAUGCAGCCAUUCCGCGUGUAUUAAGAAGGCCUUCGGGUUGUAAAGUACUUUCAGCGGGGAGGCGUUACCCGCAGAAGAAGCACCGGCUAACUCCGUGCCAGCAGCCGCGGUAAUUC
rnacentral:rRNA from 1 species